AAGCAGCGUCCGAUUUCGCAUCAAGUGCAAAAAAGUACACGUUCCAUUUUACAAAAAUGGAAACUAACAAGUGAGAAUGAAAGCUGCAAGAUUUGUCCUCGUUAUAGCAGCAACUGUAAUGGUUUCGAUGGUUUCCUAUGUGACCGCUGAAGCUGAUCCUGUGGCGGACCCGAAACCUAAUCCUCUAAAGCGAGGUACUGUUUCGUCACUCGUAGGCCGCUAAUAAUGUUCGAAAUAACAAUCGAACCAAGCCUAUUCUCAAUUUGUAAAAAGAAUAUGGAAAUAAAGGGUUAAAUAAUUAACUUA